rnacentral:rRNA from 1 species
UACAGAGGGUGCGAGCGUUAAUCGGAAUUACUGGGCGUAAAGUGUGCGUAGACGGUAGCGUAAGUCAGAUGUGAAAGCCCCGGGCUCAACCUGGGAACUGCAUUUGAGACUGCUCUGCUCGGGUGCGGAAGAGGGAAGCGGAAUUUCCGGUGUAGCGGUGAAAUGCGUAGAUAUCGGAAGGAACACCAGUGGCGAAAGCGGCUUCCUGGUCCGACACCGACGUUCAGGCACGAAAGCGUGGGGAGCAAACAGG